rnacentral:rRNA from 1 species
CGUCACACCAUGAGAGUUGGAAAUACCCGAAGCCUGUGAGCUAACUUAAAGAGGCAGCAGUCGAAGGUAGAGCCAAUGAUUGGGGUGAAGUCGUAACAAGGUAAC